GGCUCAGGACGAACGCUGGCGGCGUGCUUAACACAUGCAAGUCGAACGGUGAAGCCCUUCGGGGUGGAUCAGUGGCGAACGGGUGAGUAACACGUGAGCAACCUACCCCUGACUCUGGGAUAACGCUGGGAAACUGGUGCUAAUACCGGAUAUGAGCGACGGCCUCCUGGUCUGUUGUUGGAAAGAAUUUUGGUCAGGGAUGGGCUCGCGGCCUAUCAGCUUGUUGGUGAGGUAAUGGCUCACCAAGGCGACGACGGGUAGCCGGCCUGAGAGGGCGACCGGCCACACUGGGACUGAGACACGGCCCAGACUCCUACGGGAGGCAGCAGUGGGGAAUAUUGCACAAUGGGCGAAAGCCUGAUGCAGCGACGCCGCGUGAGGGAUGACGGCCUUCGGGUUGUAAACCUCUUUCAGCAGGGAAGAAGCGAGAGUGA
rnacentral:rRNA from 1 species